UUGAUUAUUGGAGGGGUUGAGAGUUAAGAGCAAUAAUAAUUUCACAUCAACCAAAUGCACGCACACGAAUGAACCCCCCAUUCCGUUCCGUUCCAUACUCCUCAUCUUCCGUAUCCAAUCCAGCCAUCCCCAUCGCCAAUCAGCGUCUGCUCCUCGCUCUGCUGCUGCUUCAUUCAUUCCGUCAUUCAUUGCGGACUUAGGUGCAGUGUAUAUCUUCUUCUUCCUUCAUUCAUACCCCUCCUCUCUCCCUCUCCCCCCUUCUCAGGGCCCGUGUUUAUCUUGAAUUUCUCAUCUUCACAGCCUCCACAAAUCGUGCUGCUGACAGACGAGACAGACACACGGACAAUUAACCCAGCGUAAUCGGAAAAAGGGCAAAAUGCCCGACACAUUUUUCUGCUUGAAGCCAACAAUCGACAUUGAAGAGUCGUACCAAGAGAUUUCCGAUUUGGCAAGCGAGAGGUCUCCUGAGACCACCACCACAACCGCCGCCACCCCCAAAUCACUUGUAACUGUUCCCCGAAGCAAAUCUCAGGCCACCUGCCGCAGAGUGUCGCCCACUUCCAUAUCUGAUGGUAACGCCAUCGAGAAACGCCUCCCCAAUGGGGAUCUAUACAUCGGAGACUUCUCUAAUAAUGUACCGCACGGGUUGGGAAAGUACUUAUGGAAGGAUGGGUGUAUGUACCAAGGGGAGUGGAAGAAAGGGAAAGCCAGUGGGAAGGGCAAGUUUUCCUGGCCUUCUGGCGCAACCUAUGAGGGUGAAUUCAAGUCUGGCCGGAUGGAAGGCACCGGCACCUUUAUCGGCUCCCACGGGGAUACAUAUCGAGGAUCCUGGUGCGGAGAUCGUAAGCAGGGCUACGGGGUCAAGCAUUACAUUAAUGGGGAUGUCUAUAAGGGGCACUGGAAAAAAGACCUGCUCGAUGGACAUGGGAGAUAUCUGUGGAAGAAUGGAAAUGAGUAUGUUGGGGAGUGGAAAAACGGGAUGAUUCACGGCAGAGGAACUUUGAUUUGGAGCAAUGGAAAUAUAUUUGAGGGUAAUUGGGAGAAUGGCAUCCCCAAAGGCCAGGGGUAUUUCAGUUCUGUUGGAUCCAGCAGUCUAAACAAUUCUGCCAAGAAUAGCGAUAAAACCCACACUGUGAAUGGAACCUCUUACCCUAGUCAAAUUGCCAAUAAUGGUUGUGUUAAUGAUGAUGAGUAUGCCAAGGGGUCCUUCAGCAGCCAAAUAUCUGCUCCGUUGGUGGCAGGCAGCGAUGAUUCUGAUUGGGUGAUUGGGGAUGAGCUUGGGGGAAAGAAAAGGUCGUCCUGUGAUGAUGGGAAUGGGGCCGUGGAAAGGGCUUUUCCGAGGAUUUGCAUUUGGGAAUCGGAAGGGGAAGCUGGGGAUAUAACUUGUGAUAUUUUUGAUAAUAUAGAGCCAUCUAUGCUGUGUAGAGAUGGGUUUGCGGUCCAUGGAGACUUGGUAAGACAAUUUCAGAGGAAAUCUUUAUCUAUUCGAGGAGAAGAGAAGAAACCAGGGCAUACAGUCUCAAAAGGGCAUAAGAAUUAUAAUCUAAUGCUCAAUCUCCAAUUGGGUAUCAGGCAUUCCGUGGGGAGGCAUGCUUCUAUACGGCGAGCUCUUAAUCCAAGUGAUUUUGAUCCCAAGGAAAAAUUCUGGACAAGGUUUCCGCCAGAGGGAUCUAAAUGUACACCGCCUCAUCAAUCCAUAGAGUUCCGGUGGAAGGACUAUUGUCCUUUGGUAUUUAGACGGUUGAGGGAACUAUUUCAAGUAGAUACUGCUGAAUACAUGUUAUCCGUUUGUGGAGAUGAUGCUUUGAGAGAACUUUCAUCUCCCGGGAAGAGUGGAAGUUUGUUUUACAUGACUCAGGAUGAUCAAUUUAUGAUCAAGACAGUGAAGAAAUCAGAAGUGAAGGCUCUUAUUAGAAUGCUUCCAAGUUAUUAUCAACAUUUCUGCUACUAUCAAAAUACUCUCGUAACAAAGUUCUACGGAGUUCAUUGUGUCAAACCAGUGGGAGGGGUCAAGACCCGGUUCCUUGUGAUGGGAAAUAUGUUCUGCUCAGCAUAUCAAAUUCACAAAAGAUUUGAUUUGAAAGGAUCGUCGCAUGGCCGAACAACCAAUAAACCUCACGAUGAGAUUGAUGAGACCACAACUCUCAAGGACCUUGACCUUGACUUUGUAUUCCGUCUACAAACAAAGUGGUAUCGAGAACUUAUGAACCAAAUUGAUUGUGACUGUAAGUUCUUGGAAGCUGAGAGAAUCAUGGAUUACAGUCUCUUAGUAGGUCUUCAUUUUCGCCAUGAUCGUACAGGAGAUAAAAUUGGCUUGUCACCUUUCAUGUUGCGAACAGGAAGUUACUCUUACCAAAAUGAAAAGUUCAUGAGGGGGUGUCGUUUCCUUGAAGCCGAACUACAGGAUAGAGAUCGAAUAUUAGCUGGCAGGAAACCACUGAUGAGGUUAGGGGCCAACAUGCCAGCACGGGCAGAGCGUGUAGGGAGGAGGAGUGAUUUUGAUCGUCAGUAUGCUGCUGGCCCUGGCGCUGGUGAAAUUUACGAAGUAGUCCUCUACUUUGGGAUCAUAGACAUUUUGCAAGACUACGACAUCAGCAAGAAGCUGGAGCAUGCAUACAAAUCCUUGCAGGUGGAUCCAAGCUCAAUUUCAGCUGUGGACCCAAAACUCUACUCAAAAAGAUUUAGGGACUUCUUGGGCAGAAUAUUUAUUGAGGAUAGGUUGACUGAGCCUGAGGGGGUGCUAAGAUGACUCCCCCUCCACUCCAAACUCCUCCUCCGAUCAGGGGGAGGGGGCUGAAUGCUGUUUUUGUGGAUCAGCCGGUGUUGGGAGGUGUAAGGACGGACGGACUGACUGACUGACGGUGUAAAUGGGGGAAACGAGGAGGAGAAGAAGGGAUGAUGUGAAGUAUGUAAGUAAAUCAUCAGCCACAUUGAUUGAUAAUGAUUGCAGCAGCAGCAGCAGCAGCAGCAGCAGCGAUAAUGUCGAAUAACUAGGCAGCCAGCUACUAGGACAGCUCCUCCUCAGCUGAACAACCCAACCGUAUGCCUUAUGCGUAUGACCGGUCCCGGAUCAAGGCAACAUAUGGUCGGGGCGGGGGUGGCAGGCUUGCCCAAAGGCCGACAAGAUUUUAGUCGAGCGGCCUUUGAUGGAAUGCAUGCAUUCCUAUUCAUUAAUUUGGAAAGUAAUAACUGUACAGAUGGAUAGCCAGAUAGGAUUAGGAUUAGGAUUAGGAUGGUACCAACUCAUGAAUUCUCCUCCUCCUCCAUGAAUUCUCCUCCUCCCCCUCCUCCUCCAUGAAUUCUCCUCCAUUAGUAUAAUUUACACUCCCUCUCCCACACAAUCAAUCAGUCAGUCUCAAUCACGCCAUCCAUUUCCAUAUCAUAUAUUAAUAUCCUAUUGGUUAGUUGUGUUUAAUA